CCAGUCCCAGCUCCCCAGAGUUCCCCAGCAGGAAAAGCAAGUAGCCUUCUGAAUAAUCCUUUCUCCCGAGGACAUGGUGAAAGAAUGAACCCAGCCUAAGUAACAAGACACAUCUGAGUGGGGACAUCAAGCCAAUCAGGAGUGGACCGGGUGCUACUAAUUGUUUACCUCACUGAAGAUACUGGCAAGACUUUUUGGGUGAAAUGAGAGUACUGGCUAAGAGGAGCAUGAACUUAAAGGACCUCAAGGACUGUGGAAAGACCAAGUGACACCACAUAAUACCCAACUGGCAGUCCCUGGAGCAGGAAUCAUGGAGAGGAAGAAGGACAGAGAGAUUAUUUUGGAGCAUUUUGAUUCUAGGCUCUUCCCACUGUCCAAUCAGCAGUGACUGAACCAGACUCUACAAAUGCUGGGGGAAAGGUGGCUACCUUGAGCACCUCCUCUUCCCUUAGACUUAUUCAGAAAGAGAAUUAAAUCAAAAACAGAACACAUUUCCACCUCUGUCUCUAGUAAGCACUAGAGAUGGAUGACAUAGUUUAGGAAAUGCAAUGCAAAGGAAGAGGAUGAAGAAGUUUGCUGAGGAGGGAUGCUAAGAAGGUGAUACUUAGUGGAAAUUUAGGUCCCAGCUCAUUUUAUUGAUUGGCUCUGCCAAGGGAGAAAUAUGUUAGCUUUCAUUUCCUCCAAAAUAUAUUUUAUAACCUCUUGAGGAAAUAUCUUCGGCCUAUAUUGGCCUUGCCUUUACUGUUCUCCCUAUUGCAUGCUGGCAUGUAAUAUGCCUGGGGCUUUAAGUUUCAAUACUGCUUGUAGGUCGAGACCGGCCAUGUUUUGCAGUGUUUCUGAAUGAAUAAAUAUAUUUAAUAUAUUGAAGUUGUCUUCUCUUUAUUGCCUCUUUUAGCUUUUUGAGUUACUCAACAUAUUUCAGCACUUCCUCUCUAUGGCAGCAAGUUGCUUCCUUCCAGCAGUGUUGCUGGUUUCACUGGAAAAGGCAGCAAAUCAGAUGGUCAGCACCAUAGUCCACUAAGUGCUUUAGUAAAAUGUUUCCUUUUCAUUUGCACAGAGGUAAGGAUGGGAGAAAGAGAGAAACUUAAUUUAGGAGUCUUUGCUGAGGGUUAAAGGGACAAGAAAGGACAAGAAGAUACUUGGAGGGGAUAGUUAAAGAACUACCUUGUUCUGCAG
rnacentral:lncRNA from 1 species